GACGAACGCUGGCGGCGUGCUUAACACAUGCAAGUCGAACGGAAAGGCCCUGCUUUUGUGGGGUGCUCGAGUGGCGAACGGGUGAGUAACACGUGAGUAACCUGCCCUUGACUUUGGGAUAACUUCAGGAAACUGGGGCUAAUACCGGAUAGGAGCUCCUGCUGCAUGGUGGGGGUGGGAAAGUUUCGGCGGUUGGGGAUGGACUCGCGGCUUAUCAGCUUGUUGGUUGGGUAGUGGCUUACCAAGGCUUUGACGGGUAGCCGGCCUGAGAGGGUGACCGGCCACAUUGGGACUGAGAUACGGCCCAGACUCCUACGGGAGGCAGCGGUGGGGAAUAUUGCACAGUGGGCGGGAGCCUGAUGCAGCAACGCCGCGUGCGGGAUGACGGCCUUCGGGUUGUAAACCGCUUUCGCCUGUGACGAAGCGUGAGUGACGGUAAUGGGUAAAGAAGCACCGGCUAACUACGUG
rnacentral:rRNA from 1 species